rnacentral:rRNA from 1 species
UACAUUUGAGUGAGUGGCGAACUGGUGAGUAACACGUGGGAAACCUGCCCAGAAGCGGGGGAUAACACCUGGAAACAGAUGCUAAUACCGCAUAACAACUUGGACCGCAUGGUCCGAGUUUGAAAGAUGGCUUCGGCUAUCACUUUUGGAUGGUCCCGCGGCGUAUUAGCUAGAUGGUGGGGUAACGGCUCACCAUGGCAAUGAUACGUAGCCGACCUGAGAGGGUAAUCGGCCACAUUGGGACUGAGACACGGCCCAAACUCCUACGGGAGGCAGCAGUAGGGAAUCUUCCACAAUGGACGAAAGUCUGAUGGAGCAACGCCGCGUGAGUGAAGAAGGGUUUCGGCUCGUAAAACUCUGUUGUUAAAGAAGAACAUAUCUGAGAGUAACUGUUCAGGUAUUGACGGUAUUUAACCAGAAAGCCACGGCUAACUACGUGCCAGCAGCGCGGUAAUACGUAGGUGGCAAGCGUUGUCCGGAUUUAUUGGGCGUAAAGCGAGCGCAGGCGGUUUUUUAAGUCUGAUGUGAAAGCCUUCGGCUCAACCGAAGAAGUGCAUCGGAAACUGGGAAACUUGAGUGCAGAAGAGGACAGUGGAACUCCAUGUGUAGCGGUGAAAUGCGUAGAUAUAUGGAAGAACACCAGUGGCGAAGGCGGCUGUCUGGUCUGUAACUGACGCUGAGGCUCGAAAGUAUGGGUAGCAAACAGGAUUAGAUACCCUGGUAGUCCAUACCGUAAACGAUGAAUGCUAAGUGUUGGAGGGUUUCCGCCCUUCAGUGCUGCAGCUAACGCAUUAAGCAUUCCGCCUGGGGAGUACGGCCGCAAGGCUGAAACUCAAAGGAAUUGACGGGGGCCCGCACAAGCGGUGGAGCAUGUGGUUUAAUUCGAAGCUACGCGAAGAACCUUACCAGGUCUUGACAUACUAUGCAAAUCUAAAGAUUAGACGUUCCCUUCGGGGACAUGGAUACAGGUGGUGCAUGGUUGUCGUCAGCUCGUGUCGUGAGAUGUUGGGUUAAGUCCCGCAACGAGCGCAACCCUUAUUAUCAGUUGCCAGCAUUAAGUUGGGCACUCUGGUGAGACUGCCGGUGACAAACCGGAGGAAGGUGGGGAUGACGUCAAAUCAUCAUGCCCCUUAUGACCUGGGCUACACACGUGCUACAAUGGAUGGUACAACGAGUUGCGAACUCGCGAGAGUAAGCUAAUCUCUUAAAGCCAUUCUCAGUUCGGAUUGUAGGCUGCAACUCGCCUACAUGAAGUCGGAAUCGCUAGUAAUCGCGGAUCAGCAUGCCGCGGUGAAUACGUUCCCGGGCCUUGUACACACCGCCCGUCACACCAUGAGAGUUUGUAACACCCAAAGUCGGUGG